UCCGGUGUAGCUCAACGGUAGAGCAAUCGGCUGUUAACCGAUAGGUUGUAGGUUCGAAUCCUACCGCCGGAGCCA
rnacentral:tRNA from 1 species